CACUUGAGAAAAAGUCAACUCACCCAGACCCUGCAGGACAAUAAACCCGCAGACGAUCAGAACCGGGUGCCAGUUAAAUUCCGCCGAACCUCCGUCCCAAGCCAGACCCUCUCUAAAGUGCAGGACCCAUCUUAGCACGAAGAUGAUGGAGAUGAUUCCCAGCACCCCGGCGGAAAACAGAGUGGUUAGAAAGAGCUUGUAGUUCUCCAUGGCGGCCAUGGUCGGUCUGCCUGACUGUCUGGGCUGUCAGAUGCAGGCCACGCUGGGGGAGGAUGAAGAUGAUGAAGAGUUUCUGGGCUCCAACCCACGUGACAACUCACCAGGCCACCCCCCCGGCCUUUGUCAACUUUUAUGUACUUUUACGUAAAGUUCCAGAAAGCCAAGUCAUAAAUGCUGUGAAAGUGAAAAGAUUAUAGCUAUUUCAUUCAUUCAUUCAUCUUGCCCGAAGACAGCACCCCCGACCCUCGUGGGGAAAAGCGGGUCGCGGAGGGUGCUGGAGCCUAUCCCAGCUGUCUUCAAGCAAGAGGCGGGGUACACCCUGGACUGGUGGCCAGCCAAUCACAGGGCACAUAUAGACAAACAACCAUUCACACUCACAUUCAUACCUAUGGACAAAUUGGAGUCGCCAAUUAACCUAGCAUGUUUUUUUGGAAUGUGCAGGAAACCGGAGUACCCGGAGAAAACCCACAAUGCACGGGGAGAACAUGCAAACUCCACACAGAGAUGGCCCAGGGUGGGAUUGAACCCUGGUCUCCUAGCUGUGAGGUCUGCACGCUAACUACUAGACCACCGUGCCGCCCCUUAUAGGAUUAUAACUAUUUCAUUUUCAUUAAUAUUUUCCACUCUAUGACACUUAUUAUUUUUCCUCGUUUUGGAAGGCAUUAAAAAAAUGGGACAUUUUUUCUAUUUGAAAUACGACUAUUUAAUCUGAAUAAUUAGACUUUAUUUAUAUAAAAUUGCUUUAUUUCCCCCCUCCCCCCAUUUCUGUUGUUUAUGUUUCGACUACCUGGUUGUCAUCAUUUUGACUUUAUAUUGUGUAUCUGAUGUGGACAUCACAAUUUAUAGGAUGCAGACAAUGAAAAACAUUACAGUGUAAAAAGAAAGGGUGAAAAUAUAAAAAUGAAAUGCAUGAAUAUAUUUAGAUGACAACAUGGUCAAGAAAUCACUGUAUUAUAAUAUUUGGAUUUUAUUCUCAUAACUUUAUAACUUCAUUUUCCCAAAACACCAACUUUCUUUGUUGUUUGUUUUACAUAAUA